rnacentral:tRNA from 1 species
GAUUUUAUAUUUCAUCUGAUAGACUGUCAGAUUAUUAAUCCAAAGGCUGCUAGUUCAAAUCCUGCUAAGAUCC